UUCCUUUUAGCUCAGUGGUAGAGCAUUGGGCUGGAGAGCCAAAGGUCGUGGGUUCGAGCCCCAGCAACGGCAC